GACGAACGCUGGCGGCGUGCUUAACACAUGCAAGUCGUACGGUAAGGCCCUUUCGGGGGUCCACGAGUGGCGAACGGGUGAGUAACACGUGAGUAACCUGCCCACAACUUUGGGAUAACGCUAGGAAACUGGUGCUAAUACUGGAUAUGUGCCCCUGCUGCAUGGUGGGGGUUGGAAAGCUCCGGCGGUUGUGGAUGGACUCGCGGCCUAUCAGCUUGUUGGUGGGGUAGUGGCCUACCAAGGCGGCGACGGGUAGCCGGCCUGAGAGGGUGACCGGCCACAUUGGGACUGAGAUACGGCCCAGACGCCUACGGGAGGCAGCAGUGGGGAAUAUUGCACAAUGGGCGCAAGCCUGAUGCAGCAACGCCGCGUGCGGGAUGACGGCCUUCGGGUUGUAAACCGCUUUCAGCAGGGACGAAGCUUUUUGUGACGGUACCUGCAGAAGAAGCACCGGCUAACUACGUG
rnacentral:rRNA from 1 species